AGUGAACGCUGGCGGUAGGCCUAACACAUGCAAGUCGAACGGCAGCACAGUAAGAGCUUGCUCUUACGGGUGGCGAGUGGCGGACGGGUGAGGAAUACAUCGGAAUCUACUUUUUCGUGGGGGAUAACGUAGGGAAACUUACGCUAAUACCGCAUACGACCUACGGGUGAAAGCAGGGGAUCUUCGGACCUUGCGCGAUUGAAUGAGCCGAUGUCGGAUUAGCUAGUUGGCGGGGUAAAGGCCCACCAAGGCGACGAUCCGUAGCUGGUCUGAGAGGAUGAUCAGCCACACUGGAACUGAGACACGGUCCAGAAUCCUACGGGAGGCAGCAGUGGGGAUUAUUCGACAAUGGGCGCAAGCCUAAUCCAGCCAUACCGCGUGGGUGAAGAAGGCCUUCGGGUCGUAAAGCAAUUUUGUUGGGAAAGAAAAGCAGCAGGUUAAUACCCCGCUGUUCUGACGGUACCCAAAGAAUAAGCACCGGCUAACUUCGUG
rnacentral:rRNA from 1 species